CGAGAUCGCACCACUGCACUCCAGCCUGGGCAACAGAGCAAGACUCCAUCUCAAAAAAAAAAAAAAAAAUUAAGACUAGGUUCCUUGUCUUCAAAGAGCUCAAAGUUUAGGAAGAAUCUGGAGAUAGUGAAGUCUAUUUUUCUAUACCUCUAGGACAGAGCAGAGUGUGCUAAGUGAAAUAAGUUCUAAGAAAGCCAGUGACAGCUUAAAGAGGGAGAAAUAGAAUCAGCUGAGGGAUUGCAACAAUAGAGCGUUAAUUAUUUACCCUGGGUUUUGGAGGAUGGAUCAGAUGAGAAAAAGAGAAUGGAGAGGAGAAAGUCCCAGGUGGUGGGAGCAGCAUGAGUUCUGGGAGGCAGCAUUUGGGGAAACAGGGAGGCAUUUAGUUUGGCUGAAAUACAGAGUGUAAAUGGGGGCAUUAUGGGAAACAUGGAAAUGAGUUAGAAUCAUGCUUUAAAGAAUCUUCAAAGCUACAGAGAGUCAUACUUCCCUGGGGACCAGGACUAGAACUGGGCAUUCAAAACAUUAAUAGCUUUACUGUCUUUCUUUGCAGACCACUCUGCUUCAUUUUUGGGAGAAAACUUCUCACACUAUGGCAGCCAUCCAUGAGAGUUUCAAAGGUUAUCAACCAUAUGAAUUUACUACUUUAAAGAGCUUACAAGACCCUAUGAAAAAAUUAGUUGAGAAAGAAGAGAAGAAGAAGAUCACCCAGCAGGAAAGUACAGAUGCAGCCGUGCAGGAGCCGAGCCAAUUAAUUUCAUUAGAGGAAGAAAACCAGCGCAAGGAAUCCUCUAGUUUUAAGA
rnacentral:sRNA from 1 species